rnacentral:rRNA from 1 species
GGGGAAUUUUCCGCAAUGGGCGAAAGCCUGACGGAGCAAUACCGCGUGAGGGAGGAAGGUUUUUGGAUUGUAAACCUCUUUUUUAAAGGAAGAAGCAAGUGACGGUACUUUAAGAAUCAGCAUCGGCUAACUCCGUGCCAGCAGCCGCGGUAAUACGGAGGAUGCAAGCGUUAUCCGGAAUCAUUGGGCGUAAAGCGUCCGCAGGUGGCUGUUCAAGUCUGCUGUUAAAGACAGAAGCUCAACUUCUGAACAGCAGUGGAAACUGGACGGCUAGAGUACGGUAGGGGUUGAGGGAAUUCCCAGUGUAGCGGUGAAAUGCGUAGAUAUUGGGAAGAACACCAGUGGCGAAGGCGCUCAACUGGAUCGUAACUGACACUCAGGGACGAAAGCUAGGGUAGCGAAAGGGAUUAGAUACCCCUGUAGUCUUAGCUGUAAACGAUGAACACUAGGCGUUGCUUGUAUCGACCCGAGCAGUGCCGUAGCCAACGCGUUAAGUGUUCCGCCUGGGGAGUACGCACGCAAGUGUGAAACUCAAAGGAAUUGACGGGGGCCCGCACAAGCGGUGGAGUUUGUGGUUUAAUUCGAUGCAACGCGAAGAACCUUACCAGGACUUGACAUCUCGAGAACUGAACCUAAUAGUUCAGGUGCCUUAGGGAACUCGAAGACAGGUGGUGCAUGGCUGUCGUCAGCUCGUGUCGUGAGAUGUUGGGUUAAGUCCCGCAACGAGCGCAACCCUCGUUCUUAGUUGCCAGCAUUAAGUUGGGCACUUUAGGAAGACUGCCGGUGACAAACCGGAGGAAGGUGGGGAUGACGUCAAGUCAGCAUGCCCCUUACGUUCUGGGCUACACACGUACUACAAUGGUUGGGACAAAGGGCAGCGAGCUCGCAAGAGUCAGCGAAUCUCAUCAAACCCAGCCUCAGUUCAGAUUGCAGGCUGCAACUCGCCUGCAUGAAGGAGGAAUCGCUAGUAAUCGCAGGUCAGCAUACUGCGGUGAAUUCGUUCCCGGGCCUUGUACACACCGCCCGUCACACCAUGGAAGUUGGCCACGCCCGAAGUCGUUACCCUAACCCUGUAUAGGGAGGGGGAUGCCGAAGGCAGGGCUGGUGACUAGGGUGAAGUCGUAACAAGGUAGCCGUACCGGAAGGUGUGGCUGGAUCACCUCCUU